CAGUGCCGUAACUCUUCUGUUCUGGGCGAUACCAAGUUCAAUUUUAACGAAGCUCUUUUAGUUCCAAGAAACAGACACAGCCAGACCAGUCUGAAAAUUUUUAUUUUCUGAAAAAUGUAACUUGUAAGAACACACGUAGAGCAAAAGGGAGAAACUUGGAAAUUUUUACGCAAAAAACACCUAAGUAAAACCAUUCUUGAAAGGACACAUGAACAAAUUGAACCAGUCAGAGGGGAAAGAUCAGGAUGAUGAAGUGACUCAGAAAUCAGAUUAUUCUCUGAAGGACAUACUUAAAACUAAAAGAUGUUGGAUCUCCAAUAUGAAUUUGUGAUGUCCCUCUUCAUGGAGAGCUGCCUGAAGCUGAGAAGGGUGCGACGGACCUGAAGGCUGCACAGCGCCGGGUCUUACCCAAGGCUCAAGGUGACCGCUGCCUGGUUUCUGCUGGUGUUUAUUCAAAGCCCAAGGGCUCUCCAGUCAGCAAGUGGUGAAUCUAGUCAGACAUGUGUCCUACGCUUCAGGGCAAUGAGCUUCCCCUCAGCCUAAGGUUGUUCUGCAGUAAGCAAGUCUAUGCAAACCUCUUCCCAAAGUCCAAGGAAACUGAGAGACCAAAGAAAGAGGCUGACAAAUCCAAUUUUUCAGAAAGUAACAUCUAAUAGAAACUUAUGAACAGAAGUCAUGUCUGUGUUUUGGGCAGCUGUGAGACAAGAUGAUGGAUCCCAGGGCCAUUAUCCCCCAGACCCAGGCUUUAUAAAUCACAGGGAAGGAAUGUGUAGGAUAACCGAAAUCAACAUCUCAAGGAAAAGCAAAAAUGGUAUGUGAAUCUGCCGAAGGGCAGGAUUUAUUGUCAAGGUUGUUUUGACCUAAGGGUAGGAUUUAUGUUAAGUACACAAGAAACAGUGAUAAAAUAGAAAUCUUAGAGGCAUUUCUGGAACUGGAGUUAGUCAGAAGCCAACAUGGCAGAUUUGCAUCGAAGAUGGAUUUGCCUUUAGCCUCCGUAUAAGUACAUACUACUGAACUCUAAAUGCUUAAAGGAAGAGACUAUGUCCAUUUUAGUAUAGAUUUAAUAUACUUACUAAAUCUAUAUGGCAUCAAAACUUCAUGAAUAUUGUUAACAAAUGAUUUUGGUAGCUCAGAUAAGCAUUAUUACAUUGUUGUUUAUCUGUAUAUUUUUCACAGAAGUGCUUUUCAAAUUCUUUUGAAAACUUAGUUUUACAGGGGGUUUGUAGUUUCAAUAAUUACACACACACACACACACACAAAGGAGUCAAACAAUAAAGAAUUUUUCAUCUUGCUAUGAAGAUCUUAACUGCCAUACAUUCCUGUUCUUGAUUUGUAUUAAUUCUAUAUUUUUAUGAUUUUAAUAAAUGUCUAGAAUCAUGUAAUCAUCACCCCAAUGAAGAAAUGGGACAUUUUUAUCUCAUGAGAAAGUUCCCUUUGCAGUCAAUCCUACUUCCUCCCUCCACAUCACAAAAGUGAUUUGAUUUCUGUCAUUAUAGAUUAGUUUUAUUUGUUCUGAAGUUUAAAUAAAUUGAUCAUACAGUGUAUAGUCAUUUGCAUCUAGCUUCUUUUGCUCAACAUAAUAUCUCUGAAAUUCAAUCAUAUUGUUUUCUGUAUCUGCAAUUAGUUCAUUUUCAUUGCUGACUACUAUUCCAUUGUUUAAAUUUACCACAAUUUGUUUAUCCACCCACCUGUUGAUGGACAGUUUGUUUCCAAUUCUUUACUAGGAAUAAAGUUGCUAUGAGCAUUCUUGUA